GAGUUUGAUCCUGGCUCAGGGCGAACGCUGGCGGCGUGCCUAAUACAUGCAAGUCGAACGAACUCUGGUAUUGAUUGGUGCUUGCAUCAUGAUUUACAUUUGAGUGAGUGGCGAACUGGUGAGUAACACGUGGGAAACCUGCCCAGAAGCGGGGGAUAACACCUGGAAACAGAUGCUAAUACCGCAUAACAACUUGGACCGCAUGGUCCGAGCUUGAAAGAUGGCUUCGGCUAUCACUUUUGGAUGGUCCCGCGGCGUAUUAGCUAGAUGGUGGGGUAACGGCUCACCAUGGCAAUGAUACGUAGCCGACCUGAGAGGGUAAUCGGCCACAUUGGGACUGAGACACGGCCCAAACUCCUACGGGAGGCAGCAGUAGGGAAUCUUCCACAAUGGACGAAAGUCUGAUGGAGCAACGCCGCGUGAGUGAAGAAGGGUUUCGGCUCGUAAAACUCUGUUGUUAAAGAAGAACAUAUCUGAGAGUAACUGUUCAGGUAUUGACGGUAUUUAACCAGAAAGCCACGGCUAACUACGUGCCAGCAGCCGCGGUAAUACGUAGGUGGCAAGCGUUGUCCGGAUUUAUUGGGCGUAAAGCGAGCGCAGGCGGUUUUUUAAGUCUGAUGUGAAAGCCUUCGGCUCAACCGAAGAAGUGCAUCGGAAACUGGGAAACUUGAGUGCAGAAGAGGACAGUGGAACUCCAUGUGUAGCGGUGAAAUGCGUAGAUAUAUGGAAGAACACCAGUGGCGAAGGCGGCUGUCUGGUCUGUAACUGACGCUGAGGCUCGAAAGUAUGGGUAGCAAACAGGAUUAGAUACCCUGGUAGUCCAUACCGUAAACGAUGAAUGCUAAGUGUUGGAGGGUUUCCGCCCUUCAGUGCUGCAGCUAACGCAUUAAGCAUUCCGCCUGGGGAGUACGGCCGCAAGGCUGAAACUCAAAGGAAUUGACGGGGGCCCGCACAAGCGGUGGAGCAUGUGGUUUAAUUCGAAGCUACGCGAAGAACCUUACCAGGUCUUGACAUACUAUGCAAAUCUAAGAGAUUAGACGUUCCCUUCGGGGACAUGGAUACAGGUGGUGCAUGGUUGUCGUCAGCUCGUGUCGUGAGAUGUUGGGUUAAGUCCCGCAACGAGCGCAACCCUUAUUAUCAGUUGCCAGCAUUAAGUUGGGCACUCUGGUGAGACUGCCGGUGACAAACCGGAGGAAGGUGGGGAUGACGUCAAAUCAUCAUGCCCCUUAUGACCUGGGCUACACACGUGCUACAAUGGAUGGUACAACGAGUUGCGAACUCGCGAGAGUAAGCUAAUCUCUUAAAGCCAUUCUCAGUUCGGAUUGUAGGCUGCAACUCGCCUACAUGAAGUCGGAAUCGCUAGUAAUCGCGGAUCAGCAUGCCGCGGUGAAUACGUUCCCGGGCCUUGUACACACCGCCCGUCACACCAUGAGAGUUUGUAACACCCAAAGUCGGUGGGGUAACCUUUUAGGAACCAGCCGCCUAAGGUGGGACAGAUGAUUAGGGUG
rnacentral:rRNA from 1 species